rnacentral:misc_RNA from 1 species
CACGCUUGAAAUACUGGUCAUACAACAGUGGUCAAUCCCAGUAAUAAAGUUAAUUAAUCGGACCGGUGGGAGUUUAGAGCAGACGAUCCGACCUGGCAGGUCACGUGACCAAAGCAUAGCUGCAUAAUUAAGAGACGACAUGGCGGACGGUGAAAGGAUACUCCAGGGUCUAUGAAUCUCCAAAUUUUAAUCAAGUUUUCGCGUUUCAAAGGUCUUCCAUACCUGGGCAGCCAAAAUGACGACGCCUGUUAGCCCAGACAUGAGUUUGGAAGACCUGAGACGAGAAGUUGAGCGGCUACAAGCCGAUCUCGCUGAAACGACCCAGGAGAAGUUGCAGGCUGCGGAAUAUGGCUUGGCUGUUCUCGAGGAGAAACAACAGAUUCAACAACAGUUUGAAGAACUCGAAUCUAUUUAUGAAGGAGUAAAAGCGGAAUUAGACUGUGCCAAAGAGGCACUGAGCAAGCAUCAGAUCACUUACAAGAAACACCACGAGAGCGGCAUUCACCAUGAGGAGGCAUUCCUACAGGAGACGGUUAGCCGUGAAGAGGGCUACCGAGCAUCCAUCCACGAGCUGGAGGCCGACCUCAAGUCCUGCAAGCAGACAAUGGACCGUCUGGCUGUGGAAAACAAGAACCUCAACACUCAGACAAACGAACAUCAGAACCAGAUUGAAACCCUGGAAGUUCAACGCAACCAGCUCAGGCACGAGAUCAGAGAGUACAAGGUUCGGGAGAAUCGGAAUCUCACGGAUUACGCUGAGCUUGAGGACGAGAACAUUGUGUUGCAGAAGACUGUUUCUCAGCUGAAGCAGAGCCAGGUGGAGUUUGAAGGGAUGAAACAUGAAACAAAGAGGCUUCAGGAAGAAGCGGAGGAUCUCAACAUGCAGCUCAUGGAAACGAUGAAUUUGAAAAGGAUCAUUGAGAAAAAUCUGGAAGAAGCUUUGAAUUCCUUGCAACAGGAACGGGAACAGAAACAUGCCUUGAAGAAAGAGCUUGAUCAAAGGAUUAAUCAAGAGUCCAUGUUCAACCUCAGCAAUCUGGCACACUUUGGUGGUCUGAGUGAUGGUCUAAAGCUCACUAACAGCAUGCAUUCAGAGUCCCAAGAUUCUGGGGCAGAGGAGGAUGGAGAGGUCCAUGAUCACCCUGCACUCAAGAGGAUAGAAGCUGAUUUUGCUAAGAGAGAGGGAAUUAACAGACCUACUAAACCUCGGCCAGGUGUGGUGAAUGACAUUCUCAGUGAGAUUCAGGUGACAGAGGUUCGCAAGUUGGAACAACUACUGGAGCAGAGCGACUCUGAGAAGAUGGAGGUCCAGAAGGCUCUGGAAGAAGCCAGGAAGUUGAUAGAGGAUACACAACGUGACCUCAUGGAACAGAAGGAGAGAGCAGACCAGUUGAAAGAACAUAUCAGUGCUGUAGCUAACAUCAAGAUUAUGCAGGCAAGCACAGACUCUAUCAAAGAUCCUGAACUGGAAGCAGAGAUUGAGAACGAGACUGAUCCUGACAAGCGGGCGGUUCUGAUGCUGAAGAAGAACCUUACUCAGAAUGAAAGGAAGUACAGUACUGCUUUGAGUGAGAUAAGUGCCCUUCAGGCUGAGAUUAACCGUCUUCAGGACAAAAACCAGAUCCAUGGAGAUCCAAAUAUUGAGGCUGCUUUGGCCGAACUUCAGCAGAAGUGCAUGCAAUAUGAAGAGAACAUCAAGGACCUGGAAAGGGACUUGAAGUCCAUGACCUCUCUUGCUGGUGAUGCUCACGGCAGCCUCACUGCCACCCAGGACGACCUUGUGAAGGUCACAGAAGACCUUGCUCAGUUGUACCACCUUGUGUGUGAAGUGAGCAAGGAGACGCCGAGUCGGGUGAUGUUGGACCAUGCUAAGGGAACAGUCACAACUCGCAAGGACAUCAGUCGAGAGAGCAGCGAGGAACCAGACGACAAAAAUGGCAAGGGAGAAAACGGUGUUCAAGAAACAAAGAAAAAGCGUUCCAGGAGAAACAAAGAUGCUGCAAAUACAGCCAUGGUUAAUGGUGAUAUGAAGGGCGACCCUACCUCGUGUACAGGACUGUCUGAGACAAUAGUUGACCAGGUGAAGUUCCUCAAGGUCGCUGUUGACCACUUGGUGGACAACAUGUCGAGUCAGCAACAACAGGGCGGGGAGAAUGACGACAUGCAGGAACUUCAGGAACAGGUGGUCAAGUUGAAAGCUAUGCUUUCCACCAAACGGGAACAGAUUGCCACACUCCGAAGUGUUCUCAAAGCCAACAAGUCCACUGCAGAGGUGGCGCUAGCCAAUCUUAAACAAAAGUACGAAAAUGAGAAAGUUAUUGUGACUGAGACAAUGAUGAAGUUGCGCAAUGAGUUGAAGGCGCUGAAGGAGGAUGCUGCCACCUUCGCCUCCCUGCGUGCAAUGUUCGCCCAGCGGUGUGACGAGUACGUGACACAGCUGGACGAGCAGCAGCGCCAACUGGCUGCUGCGGAGGAGGAAAAGAAGACGUUGAACUCUUUAUUACGUAUGGCAAUCCAGCAGAAGCUGGCUCUGACACAGAGACUCGAAGACCUAGAGUUUGACCGUGAGCGCAGGAAUAUGACAAGCAGGCGACAAGGCCGCAGCAAAAUGGGGACACCCAAAGUAAGUCACAACUACAAUCCCAGUGAAGAGUAUGGUCAAAACCGAAGAGCGUACCAAAACUUCAGGAGAGAUCGAGACUAUUAGAGUAGGGAUGGUUGAUUGUGGCUGCCCAAGUGAGGGGUUUAACCAGUAAGCGUCUGCUACCGACAGAGCUGAUGUCCUGCAGCCCCGGCAGCUGCAGCAGCGAGGUGAUGACCACUAGUCUCAUGGAGGACAAGAUGCUGGAAGAUCACAAGAUGUGAGCCACCUGUCCCCCCUGU